GCUGACACGUCCCGGCCAAUCUCCAGCAGACCCUCCCUCCCAGACCCUCCCACCUCCUGGACAGCAUCCAUGUUGAAGCUGCCUUCAACAUGGAUGCUGUCCAGGAGGUGGGAGGGUCUGGGAGGGAGGGUCUGCUGGAGAUUGGCCGGGACGUGUCAG